GUUGGAUCAGGGCUCAGGAUGAACGCUGGCGGCGUGCUUAACACAUGCAAGUCGAGCGAAGCACUUGUUUGGAAUCCUCCGGGAGGAAAAACAAUUGACUGAGCGGCGGACGGGUGAGUAACGCGGGGGGAACCUGCCUUAUACCGGGGGAUAACAGCUGGAAACGGCUGCUAAUACCGCAUAAGCGCACGGCACCGCAUGGUGCAGUGUGAAAAACUCCGGUGGUAUAAGAUGGACCCGCGUUAGAUUAGCUAGUUGGCGGGGUAACGGCCCACCAAGGCGACAAUCUAUAGCCGGCCUGAGAGGGCGACCGGCCACAUUGGGACUGAGACACGGCCCAAACUCCUACGGGAGGCAGCAGUGGGGAAUAUUGCACAAGGGGCGAAAGCCUGAUGCAGCGACGCCGCGUGAGCAAAAAAUUAUUUCGGUAUGUAAAGCUCUAUCACCAGGGAAAAAAAUGACGGUACCUGACUAAGAA
rnacentral:rRNA from 1 species